GAUGAACGCUGGCGGCGUGCUUAACACAUGCAAGUCGAACGAAGCAUUUAAGAAAGAUUACUUCGGUUUGAAGUCUUUUAUGACUGAGUGGCGGACGGGUGAGUAACGCGUGGGUAACCUGCCUCAUACAGGGGGAUAUCAGCUGGAAACGGCUGGUAAUACCGCAUAAGCGCCCAGUACCACAUGGUACAGUGUGAAAAACUCCGGUGGUAUGCGAUGGACCCGCGUCUGAUUAGCUUGUUGGCGGGGUAACGGCCCACCAAGGCGACGAUCAGUAGCCGAACAGAGAGAGUGACCGGAGACAUUGGGACGAAGACACGGCCCAGACUCCUACGGGAGGGAGCAGUGGGGAAUAUUGCAAAAUGGAGGAAACGCUGAUGCAGCGACGCCGCGUGAGUGAAGAAGUAGUUAGCUAAGUAAAGCUCGAUCAGCAGGGAAGAUAGUGACGGUACCCGACUAAGAAGCUCCGGCUAAAUACGUG
rnacentral:rRNA from 1 species